GACGAACGCUGGCGGCGUGCUUAACACAUGCAAGUCGAACGGAAAGGCCCUGCUUUUGUGGGGUGCUCGAGUGGCGAACGGGUGAGUAACACGUGAUUAACCUGCCCUUGACUUUGGGAUAACUUCAGGAAACUGGGGCUAAUACCGGAUAGGAGCUCCUGCUGCAUGGUGUGGGUUGGAAAGUUUCGGCGGUUGGGGAUGGACUCGCGGCUUAUCAGCUUGUUGGUGGGGUAGUGGCUUACCAAGGCUUUGACGGGUAGCCGGACUGUAAGGGUGACCGGCCAAAUAGGGACUGAGGUAGGCGCCAGACUCAUAAGGGAGGCAGCAGUCGGCAGUAAGAAACAAAGGACGGAAGUCAGGUGAAUAGACACGCAGAGCGGUAUGAUGAUCAUAAGGUGGUAAACCGCUGUCGCCUGUCAAGGAGAGUGAGUGAAAGUAAAGGGUAAAGAAGCCCCGGCUAACUACGUG
rnacentral:rRNA from 1 species